rnacentral:rRNA from 1 species
GGACUACCGGGGUAUCUAAUCCUGUUUGCUCCCCACGCUUUCGCGCCUCAGCGUCAGUUAUGGUCCAGAAAGCCGCCUUCGCCACUGGUGUUCCUCCCGAUCUCUACGCAUUUCACCGCUACACCGGGAAUUCCGCUUUCCUCUCCCACACUCAAGCCCGCCAGUUUCCAAAGCAAUUCCCACCUUGAAAGCGGGACUUCCACUCCAGACUUAGCAGGCCGCCUACGCGCCCUUUACGCCCAAUCAUUCCGGACAACGCUCGCCCCCUACGUAUUACCGCGGCUGCUGGCAC